CUACGUGCCAGCAGCCGCGGUAAUACGGAAGGUCCAGGCGUUAUCCGGAUUUAUUGGGUUUAAAGGGAGCGUAGGCUGGAGAUUAAGUGUGUUGUGAAAUGUAGACGCUCAACGUCUGAAUUGCAGCGCAUACUGGUUUCCUUGAGUACGCACAACGUUGGCGGAAUUCGUCGUGUAGCGGUGAAAUGCUUAGAUAUGACGAAGAACUCCGAUUGCGAAGGCAGCUGACGGGAGCGCAACUGACGCUUAAGCUCGAAGGUGCGGGUAUCAAACAGGAUUAGAUACCCUGGUAGUCCGCACAGUAAACGAUGGAUGCCCGCUGUUGGUACCUGGUAUCAGCGGCUAAGCGAAAGCAUUAAGCAUCCCACCUGGGGAGUACGCCGGCAACGGUGAAACUCAAAGGAAUUGACGGGGGCCCGCACAAGCGGAGGAACAUGUGGUUUAAUUCGAUGAUACGCGAGGA
rnacentral:rRNA from 1 species